AGAGAUCGCUGCGGGCUGAACCUCACCAGCGUGUUAGGAAUGCAGACGCCAGAUCCACAGAUUGCGGAGGGUUUGUGGGGGCUUUUUUAAGCCCCAAAAGGCAUUUCUUUCCCUUCUCUCCCUCCCCCACCCCUGUCCAAUUUCCCCACCCCCUUUCCUCGGGGCCCUCUGGCUUCCCCACCGCUUGCAAACCCAGUCCCCGGUCCCCAGAAGCACCUUUGGACCCCGAGGCGGCCGAGGCCCGCGCCCUGCCCGCAGCUGCUCCCUCCCGGCUCCGGCAGCGCCGCGCCCGGCCUCGGCUGACGUUGCAUUUUAUGGAACGAGCCCGGGGUGAUAAUGAGCUGCCAGAGAGGAUAUUAAUCUCACCCCGGCCCUGAGGCAGAGGAGUGGCCCCGCUGGCCCGCGGUAAUCACCCAAAUGAAACGCCAGGCCCUCCUGAACUCAUUUAUCAGCGGGAGGGGGAGGGGCGCUCCCCGCGCGCCCGGCGGCCAGUGAGGCCGCGCGAGCCACAGAAGGACGGGGGAGGGCACGCGGGGCGGGCCCUGUCGCCUGUUUCCUCCGGGCCCAGGAGGGGCCACCGGGCCGGCGCGGCAGGCGCAGGUGCAGGGGGCAUGUGUGCAGCACAUGGCCGCGGGCCCGGCCGGUGACCGAGGGCGCACGCCGCAAGGUUUACUGACCCGGAGCCGUCGCAGACCCGGCGCCAAGCGAUCCUGUCGCCGCCGCUGUCCCCGCGGACGUCUGCACGGAUCCCAGAAAACCGUUUCCGGCCGGACCCAGAAGGUUCUGCGGGAGGCAGGCCCCGGAACGAGCCCGGGCUUACGCGAGGCAACCCGGGGGGCCCAGGGCCACACGGACCCGAAAGGCCUGCCGGUGAAAUCGUCCAGUCGUGGUAAGGCUUAUUUGCCGAAACGUUCGAAUGGUGCGUCUCCACUCCUGGAGCGCCAGUGCCGCGAGAUCCUCGAGCAGAUAGGAAAGUAAACCCACCGAGUCCCGUUGCCCUCCUGGGAUCCCCGCAUCCCGACAGGCGGACGCCUGGUCGCAACCUCCUGCGCCGCCUGCUCCUUGGCCUUUUUGCUGCGUUUCCACUUCAUCCGCCUGUUCUGGAACCAGAUCUUCACCUGAGGGCACAAGAGGGCGUGAGAAACUGGCCACUCCAUCCCUACGGGUCCUCUCUCUGGAGUCCUGUCUGCACCUGCACCUCGCCGGUCCUCACAAGGCCCAGGAGUGGGCUUCAGGGGAAGGGGUGCCCCCCCCCAGGCACCAGCACCCCCCAGAGUGGGGCUGGGGGGCUCCAAGGAGGCUCAGACGGGGACCUCGACUUCGGGAUUCCCGUCUUUUUCUGGGGGUGCUCUGGCACUGUCCAGAUAGGACCGGAGCAGCUAGAGGACGUAUCUGUAAACCUGUACACAUCCCCUGCUCUCUUUUUGGAAUAAAAUUUCUCAAACGUG